UUUUAUCUGUUUUUUUUUUGUUUUGCUAAAUGUUUCUUUUUUAGAAAUUGGCACCACCGUGCACUUCAAGCAAAAAGGGCCUGGGUCGGUGAGAGGAAUAAAUGGAUCCAUCAGUCUGGCCGUACCACUGUGGCUGAUGGCAGCAUCUUUGCUCUGCCUUCUCAGCAAAUGUUAAUAGAAUAAAAAUUUAAGAAUAAUUUAAAAAAACACACAAAAACGCGUCACACAGGAUACAGAGAGAGAGAGACAGAGAGAGAGCGAGAUGGGGGGAGACUGUUUAUUUUACAACUUUGUGUGUUUUUAAAUGAAGGGGGAAAUAAGAAAACGAAGAAGAAAAUACACUUAAAACCAUUUUAAAGUCCAUCAAUAAAAACUUAACUAUAAAUCAGGGUGGGAAAACUUCUACAAGGAUAUGUGUAUAUCGAAGCAAAUGUAUACUAUAUAAAGACUACAUCGUGCUAAGGACACCCGGAUGCUGUAAAAAUAGGAGGAGUGAAGAAGUGUCAGAUGGAUAUUAACCCCCCCACACACACUUUAUCCUUCCUUCAUUCUUUUUCAUCUGUGGAGAAAGCAAAAAUAAGGUCUUGCCUUUGGUGUUUGUAUUUCCAUCAUCUUUUUAUUUUGUUCUUCAUUUGAGCUGAUUCAUAGCCAUUUCAGACUAUCAGUGGAAUCCACGCUGGAAUCCUGUGUUGAGCCUUUACCUGGCUUUCCUGCCUCCACUAUCUCUCCAACUUUUAAGACCAUCUCCUCCCCCUCCAGUGUGUUCCAUCUCCCCCACAUCCAUCCCAGAGACUCCCUUUAUACCCCCCCAUCCCCAUAGCUGCUGCUUCUCUUCACCCCCUACCACACCCCCCAGCACUAGUCAUGCCGCAAACGCUAGGAAGUGCCAUUUUAAUUUUCUCCACUGUGUGCGCGUGCUCAAGUCUCUCGCUCUCACGUGGGUGUACAUGUGUGUGAGCGUGUGUGUGUCUCUCUCUAAAGCAUGCCAAGGGAAUGGUCCAUGUGUACAUAGACUCAUUGUGCUGUAGAUACUGUCCCGCACUGUAAUUGUGAGAUGCGGCUGUGACAAGUUGCUGGGGGACAUGGUGGGGAAGGAGGCAUGGAGCAGGGUCCCCCAACUUCCCCCAUGGCUGUCACAUGACAUCAGUGUGUAUCCACACCAAGCUGUGCCCCUUCUAAGGGCAGAACCUCAUAUUCCUCCUAGUCCAAUCAUCAGAACCCAGUCGAGAGUCACUCAGAAUAUCACUGUAAAUGAAAGUGCCUACUAUUGACGGGGUGAGCAAACAGUAGAAAGAAUCAGUGACGUCAAUGAGGUGACCUAGGAGAGAAGGUUUCUGAUUUCACUCUUGUUUCAUGAGUCUGAGGAAUUCAUGUAUUUCCUGGCUUUUUGCAGGCUUGGACCUGCUCUGCUGCAGGAGUGAGUAGCGUGUGUUGAGUAAAUCCCAAGAACCAGGAAGGUCUCCAAGUGUUAACUCCCAAUGAAAGGUUGAUGAGCCACAUGGAGAUACUAAGCAGCCCUGUUGUGCCCCUUCCCUGAUCUUCAAAUAACACUGCAUUUGGCCCCAUGGAUUCCCUUGAGCAGAGAUUGUUUCCUAUUUCAGAUAAAAUAUAGUGAGAGUGAGCAAGGCAGGAAAAAGUAGACAGAUGCGCAGGUCCCUACUCCUUUUGUAGAGAUGUUGGCAGAGCUCUAUACAAAGCAUUGACCAUAACAAGAAGGAAUCCAUUCCUUGUGCUCCUUUGCAGAUUUUUGUCCUGGUGUUGUAAGCUAAUACUUUAUUUGGUGGCCUGCACAAUCUCCUUUUUUGCUCCACUGGUAAUGUUUGCAGCACCAUUGUUCGCAGUAGUCCAUCAUUAUCCUAGGCCAGGCUGCUGGAAUAUAUUCCACCUUCCCUGCUCACUUUUGGCUUCUGGUUCCUGAAAAAGAUACUGUGGGGGUUAUGAUGUCUAAGUUUACAUCGACAAGAGUCAUCUGAAAUGUGAGUUAGUUCCUUAAUCAAAAGAACUGGGAAACUUGUAAUAAUUUAGGUCAAAGUUGUACGCACACCACAAAGCUUGGUAUCGCCACAACACCAGGAUUUUCUUAGGAAAGGUUUUGCAGAGAGAGCUGGCUCUCUGUCUGUAGAUGUCUUUGUCAGGAAACCAACGAGUGCUUUCACUUAAACUAUAGGAGGCAUUGGAAGUGGCUCAGUUUAUGAAAAGACAGAGGAUUAUUAUUGAGGUCACAAUUGAAUGUAUUUCAGAAGAGCCAAAUAUGGUACCUCCUUUAGUUUGGAACCUGCAAAAUAGCUGUCACAGAAUAUAAAACAGGAAACAUCCUAACUGCAAAUAGAAAAAGGAAGGAAGAGAGAAAGGAAGAGAAGAAGAGAGGGAAAAAGUGGAAAAGAGGGAAGGAAGGAAGGAAGGAAGGAAGGAAGGAAGGAAGGAAGGAAAGGAGGGAAGAAGAAAAGACAGACCUAAAAUGUCUACUGAUAGAUUUCAUUAAUUGAAGGCUCUUUGCAAUGAGCCUUGUCUUUGAAGGUAAUGAUCUCUUUGAUAAGCAACAUUUUAAAUCUGUUCUAGGGGAUUCUAUUGUUUGUUUUAGAAAGCUUAUUACCAGCCUUCUUUUAUGAUUGCAGUUUAGACAUGAAACUGAAGGGCAAAUUGGGCUUGGGGAUGGAUAAGAGUAUUUGUGGCAGAGCCUCGCAUAGUACAGAAAUUCUUAUCCCAGAAAGUAGCUACUAAAAUAUAGGGAAGGUGAGCCAUAUUCCUAUCCAGCAUCAGUUUAUUGACAAUCGGGGUUUCUCUAACAUUUUGGUCUUAGUACAGGAAUAAAAGUUUAUCAUCAUUGAUGAUAAAUGUUUCCCACAUAUUGAAGAGCCAGUCACAUCCUUAGGUGGAAGCUUUAGAGGAAUGCAUGCUAAUUUAAAGAUAUAUAAGAAAAUAAAAGUAGCAGGAGUUAAUUUGGUUUAGUAUCAGUUUCAGGAACAGAUCCUUGUGGCAUGUGACAUAUUUUAAUCAUACGCCUACAUUUCAUAUUGUCUCCACCCUAUCAUAACGACAAGGUCUUGAUUUUAUGGAAGGAGAUUCUCCGCAGAAAGGAAUGUCUGCCUUGUCAGCACCAUUUGUUCCCUGAGUUUUAAUAUAAUGGACCAUAUAUUAAACAUAAUUAAACAUAUAUUGAAUAUUGUGGUGUUUGCAUAUAUCUCUGGCAGGAUCUGGGAAUUUUAAAAAAAUUGUCCUGGCUCCUGUUUCAGAGCAAACAUUGGCCCCAGAAAUCUUCUAGGUUUGAGAAUGUCUCUAAGCAAUGUGAAGAAUGGAGGAGAACCUAAUUUGGAGAAAGGUCAGGAAAAAGGUGGCAGCCGGAGGACUGACACCAAGAAAUUGAGUCUGAACAUGGGACUUCUUGGAAUUUAGUUCAUCAUAUUGCUAUAAAUCCCUUCAAGAAUCUUGUCCAUUGGUAAUCAAAACUUGAAACCCUGCACUGAAAAGAACCAACUGGUUGGAAAUAAUACCCUGAGAGGAGUGAAAUUCAUGAAUUAAUCUGAAUGGCUAAUAUAUUUAAUGUCCUCUGUAUGCAAAACGAAACUCCACCAUUCAUAAAACAAAAUCCUUAGAACCGACCUUCAGUUAAGGAAAGCAGAAAUGACCUUGACCAAGGGCACUUCCUGAAGAAUGAGAACUACCCUAGGUUUUACAACUGCAGAAUUAUAUCUUCUGUGCAAUUAACUGUGCAUCAGAAGGUGUUGCCUUGUUGGAGGAACAGUCUUACUUGUUUUGAGACAUAAAAUCCCUCUGCCCUAAAAGAACUAAGGCUUUGGGAAAAAUUGUGUCUUCUGUUGGGGAAGAAUUGUCCUAUUGACCUUUGCCUUCUCUUCCAAGUCAGACAGACUUCUCCCUUGCCAUGGGCAUUUUUUUACUACAUAUUCAGUCAACUGGGGCUAUUCAUAGAGACCUUGUAAAAGUACUCGUGAUAUUCAUGUUCUUGGAGACAGAAACACAAAUCUGUUUCUCCUCCAAAAAUGGAUUUACCUCCUUUGCACACAAAAACUAAACUCCUCAGCAUGAAAUUAUUUCUGAGUUAUUACCUACCAAGUUGUUAGCUUCUUAACUACUCCAGAGUCACAGUUUCCAUCCCCAGGGUGGUUGCGGUUUGACUGUUUCUAUUGGCUUGUCUCCCGGAAUCUCUCCUUUUGCUUUUUGCAGACCUUGAAUUAUUUGUGGAAAAAUAAUAUAUAUGUGUAUGUAUUUUUUUUAAUCUUAUCUUUACAGAUGCUAUAUUUACAAUAUUGUAUGUAUUAUAAGACAAAUCUAGAAUAAUGGUUAAAAGGAAGAAAAAUACUGAAUUUGGUUAAAAAAAAAAGAGCUAUGUUUCAUUUAGAAAGAUACGGAGCCCCAUUUUUUCCACUUCGUAAUUACUUGUUUAAGAGGAAUUUUUUGUGGACCAAGUUCCAUGGCCUUAUUUUUCUCUUCAUCUUCAUUAACUUUUUAGCCUGAAUUUAGUCUUGGUUACAGGUAACUAUCAAUUUUUUAUAGACAUUUAAGUGCAGUGUUAUAUCUGACCUAUAAAAACUAUUAAUAUUUUGAAGACAAAUGUUAAACAUAGCACAAAAAUGGUGAGAUAGGACCCUAAAUUAAAAAACUCAAAUUCAGUUCAGGAAGGCUUCUUCUUUCUUCCGUACUUAAAAUAUUUCUCUUCCAAAGACUACAUUUGCCCCAGUGAUGUAAAUUUUCCAUCAUGGUUGGCAUAAUAUCUGUAAACAUCUCACUAAAUGCAAAAUGGAGUUUACAUUUAUGUGCAUACUAGUGGGAAGAGAAGUAAACUAUUCUCAUUUGCAUGUAGCUGUGUUGUCAAAUGCGGCCAACUGAAAUUCAAGAGAGAAUUUGUUUUCCCCCAGCAAUGUACAUCACUUUCCUCUUGGCAAGGAAGCUGGUGUUAACGUUAGGUUUAGGUUUAACAUUUACACCAGUGCAAAUGUUUAUGGAUAUUAUGGAAAACUUAUUUUAAAAUCUUGAUUUCCUUUCAGUGCAUUUACAUACUGUGUGCUGAUUAAUAAAUUAGGCACCAAUCAUGUGUAAAUCAAUGUAAAUCACUAGUUUAUGUACAUAAUAUAAACUAUGUAAACUUCAUUUUUCAUGCAGUGCCCAGGUUCAGCUAAAUCUAUGAAUCUUAAAGAAAAAAAAAUCAAAUAAAAACUAAAGCAUUUCACAGGUCAGAAUGGGAAGGAGUAUGACUAAUGUCCCGAACAAGAAGGUUGCCUCAGCAAAAGGAAGCAGACCCACAGGAACUAUUAAAGGUGACAUCCUGCUCAAGUCACAGGAGGCCACCUCUUUGUUCCUGAGGGACCUAAGUGGAGUUUCUCCCAACUGACAGCCACAGCUGUCUCACCUGACCCCAAAGCAAGGGAAAUGAGAAGACAGGGAGGAAGGAGUUUUAAGGUCUCAUGUGUCUGCUGCAUCAACUCCCAGUGUCUUCUUGUUACUUCUUACCCACCAUCUAGGAUGGCUUAUUUAAAUGGAUCCAAGGAGGUCACCUACAGCUUGGUGAGCAAAAUAUUACUCAGUUUUUAUCUUCCAUCAGAGAAAGACAUUGGGAAAGCUUCUUUUUCAUCUUGAUUCUAAGAAAUUGUAGGAUAUAAGAAAUAUGCUAUAUCCUUGAGAAAUAUCUUGCCAAGUUACCCUAGGAAAUGAUUACUUUUACUUAAUCUGAUAGACCUAUAUUUCUACAUAUCUAUCCUGAAUAUUGCAAAUGAGGACAUAAUUACUUUAAUUGGGACUAUCUCUCUCAGGCACCUUCUCUUGGAGUCUUUUUGAAGGGUCUGAUGUGUUUAAAAGAGUGACAUAUAUGUAUUUUCUACAAUCUGAACAGCCACAAAGAGCUAUCAAAGAGAUGAUUUUGGGAAUCACAUGAACUUUCUGCAUGGAUUGUUAUAGAAAGAAACUUAAGUCAAAUUGACAUUACACUUAAAGUACAUUCCUCCACCCAAGAUAAAUGGCAACUUUAAGGUGAAGCAGAAAGUCAAGAGAAUUGGAUUCUGGCUAGGGUCUGCCCACAAACAAGCUAGGUGACCUUAAGCAAGUCAUUUAACCUUCCUGAGACCUGGUUUUCUCAUACUGAAAGUAAGGAAUUUGGAUCACAUCUCUAAGACCUCUGUCAGCUCUAAACUCUGAUUCUGAAUAAGAAUUUCAUGCUCAUGUAGCAUGUGGCCAGCUGGUCAUUCCAAGGAGCUGUUUGUCACCUUCAGUUUGGCCUCUGUACCACCUUCAUUUCUCGGUACCAUCAUGCCAUCAUCUCCAUUUCAAAAGCCAAAACGUCUAGAAUACAGGGUCCCUGGACUGGUUCUAAAAUCCUCUUCUGAUCAAAACUUCUUAGCAAUGUAGAGAAGGGACACAUUCAGAUGAUAUUGAAGGCAUUGAAAUAGCUGGAGUUGUUUCCUUAUAAUAAAAAAUCGAACUGUUGCACUAAUAAUCUUUCAUAGGAAGGAAAGUAGUCAGAUUGAGUAUUACGCAUGCUGUGCAUAUGAAAGGAAACAUCAGGUUGUUUUUGUUUUUGUUUUUGUUUUUUUCCUCAUCCUGGGCCAAGUGCCUCAUUUCAGUAAAUGUGUGUCCUUGAAAAUUCUGCUUGUGCUGAUAUGGCAGUAGGCAUGUGGUCCCGGGCAGGUUCAAAAGGCUGUUCUGUGAGGAAAAAGACAAGACAAUACAUUUUGUUUUAUAAGGAAUUUCUCAUGACAUGAGUUUCCCUAAACUUGACUUAGAGGCUGUGAAGUCAAGCAAGUGGACAGAGAGAAAACAAGCCUCAUUUUCAAAAAGUACAGGUCGAUAUCAUUUAAAGAGGACAAGUUAAAAAUAGGACAAAAAGAAACACAUUUCAGGAGGUGACAGAGUCGAAUACAGUAAGAGUUGUUGUGAAGGCCAAGAUCAAAUGUGGAAGUUCAGUUCUCUGAGAAGAGGGGACAGAAAUGAUGCUUCUCAGGCAGUUAAUGAGGAAUUACUUUCUUGUGCCAUGUUCUGAAGGGAUUGAGCACAGGCCCACUUGUUUUAACCCAUCGAAGCGUAGCCCCACACUAUCCUGGAGGCUCAAAUUAGCUUUUUCAAUCAUUGCCUAGGAGAACAGAAACCAUCUGAGACUCCUGUGUACUGUAGAGCAGGGAUUAUCCGUAACUUCCCAGCGUUAGUAUUACUUGAUAAGGAUGUGAGAUGUGCUUAGAGCACUUACCAAGCUCUCUUUAAGUGGGAGAAUGACCUGCCCAUAAGACAACUCCCCAUUUUCAUGGUUAUUUCAGAGGUGUCUCUUUGAGUGGUGCUCCUGGAUCUACUCCUACAGCUACAUUUUCCUCUGCACAAGCCUUCUCUAUGUAAAGCCAGGCACAGAGUAAAAAUCUGCUUCUUGCAAAUGAAGAAAAAACAUGGAGCUACUAGCUUCAUGGCAUGUGGCAGUAAUUCUAAGAUAUCUGUGGCCUUUUCUGGACCCACUUCCCUAAGUCUUUGCUCUUCACCAGAGAAUGUAAAUGGUUCAUUCUGGUGAUUAUGGCCAAGUCCUGCUCCCUAAGUAUUCACUGGGUUUGAGGGAAGGUUAAAGGGAAAAAGAUGCAGGGGGAGAGAAGCAUGGGACAAAACCUCUGCCUUCUUUCCCCCCAACCUUGCCUCACCCCUUCCUUAUCACCGCUCUACUGAAGGGUGUAUAAAUCCUGCUCUUGGUUAGAAUUCUCCUUAUUAACAGUGUUAUAUACAUAUAAAUAUAUAUAUAUAUAAAUAUAUUCCUUUUUUUCAGCCCUGUAGACAUAAACAAAACUUUUCCUUGAUGAUACAAACACAUGGCCAUUUUUUAUUUGGUUUUUUUUUGUUGUUGUUCAAAGUUUAUUGGAUGGAUUUUUUUCCCUGGACACUAGCUCUGUGAAGGAAAAUAAAAAGCGCAAUGUGUGUUUAAAAAAAAAUUAAAAUUAAAAAAAGCUUUUUUUCUUUUCUUUUAAAAUGUAUUUAAAUUCUGUUUCUCUCUUCUGUUACUUUACACGUAUGAAUGCUCUGCUCUUCUGUGAUCUUAAAACAAAAUGAAAUAAAUGUGAAAAGGAGACAUGUC